rnacentral:snRNA from 1 species
AUCACUUCUUGGUCUUUUGGCUAAGAUCAAGUGUAGUAUGUAUUCUUAUCAGUUUAAUAUCUGAUACAUGUUUUAAACUGUCUCUGGCAUGUUGUUUGCCUCCAUUUCAU